CCAGGAUACCAAAUACCGGAAACAGAUAUCGGCUGGCGAUUUAGUCGGUUAAAAGAAGAAUAGAUACACAUGAAGAAGAGAACUGGAGAACGGACUUCUAUCCCACAUGAAAACGAAAGAAGAAUCGUUAGAUUGAAAUGUUUGAAUUAGGAACCGGUAGCCAAUAAUACCAAGAAGGUAAUUUCUGCAUGCUACAAAGUGGUGGAAAAAUAGAAACAUGUCAAAAAAGGACAUAUAGGCUCAUAUACAUUCCUUGUUGUGGAUGAUUUUGACAUUGGAAAAUGAUAAUAACACAUAAAAUGCCACCCAGUUGAUAGCUUUAAGAGAAGAUGCACCGAAAAGUUGAAGUUGCUAUUGUACAUGUUGUACAAGAACUGUUGGAAUUUGUAUUUUUGAAACUUUCGUUGUGAAAAAUAUUUAUAUUAUAAACUGUUCACCUAUCACAUUAACAUGCUUUUUUUGGUUAGGAUACAGAGGAUGUAGUAACGAUCUAAUAAUGCAGGGAAAAUCAUUAUUUGUAAUAUAUUUAAGUCUGUUUUUUUUCAAAAUGUAUGUGAUUUCACGGACUGUUAUACUUAUAUCAUAAGGUAUAUAAUGUACUUUUCAUUCAUAUAUGCUCAUUUGAUUACAUAAAAAAA